CUGUUAGGUUAGAGGAAAUGAUAAAAACGUAAACAAAUCUGAUUUCACAAGCGCAGGAAUGAAUUUGGUCCGAGUUUAUCAACGUUUCCGACCGGUACAGUUACAAAAUCUCCAGUUCUUCAAUCGCUGCAGUCAUUUCAAUCGGCACUGCUCUUCGAAUGCGGUGCCUCGGAAUCUGCCGAAAGCGGUUUCGCAGCGGGCGUGGGAACGUUCCCAGGAAGCGGGCACCGUUUCCUAUGGACAGCCAAUGCCUGCCACCCAUCCGCAUCUGCUGCAGGAUGGUGAUCUGCUGCCGGGAAUUCGUCUAGCCGAAAUUAAAGCGCGUCGACGCGCUUUGCUUGAGCUGACACGAAAUUACGCCGCAGCCAAUUUGAGUCGAGAUGCUAAAGAACAUCUGAUUAUAAUUCCGUCAGCGAGUAAAAAGUAUAUGAGCGACAAAAUUCCGUACGUCUUCCGGCAGAAUUCGGACUUUCUCUACCUCAGUGGUUGCCUGGAACCGGAUAGUGUUCUAACGUUGGAACUGGACGGUGCGGGUAACGAGCACUGCGUGCUCUACGUGCGACCGAAGGACAGCCACGCCGAGCUUUGGGAUGGCCCCCGAACGGGGGUCGAAUUGGCGCCGGAGGUUUUCGGCGUCGACCGAGCCGCGAAUGUGAUCGAUCUGAAAGCAAACCUGACCCAGUACACUUUUGCGCAUCCUAGUGGAACGAUUUGGUUCGACGAGAAGGCGUGCAAUUUGGACGAUGUUCGGCGAAUUGUGGCCGAUGUUGGUAAGCAAAAUACUGUGCGUUCGCCCGCCGGAUUGGUGCACAAGUUGAGAGUUAUUAAAUCCCCGGCGGAAGUUGAGCUGAUGCGGAAAACUUGUCAGAUUGCUUCAGAGGGAAUUAACCGUACCAUGGGUGGUAGUCAGCCGGGACAAAGCGAGCAUCAGUUGUUUGCGAAGGUGGAUUUCUACUGCCGGAUGGCGGGAGCGAGUUAUCUGGCUUACCCGCCCGUUGUUGCGGGCGGUUCCAAUGCCACCGUUAUACAUUAUAUUAAUAAUACUCAGAUCGUGCGAGACGGUGAAAUGGUACUGAUGGAUGCCGGAUGCGAAUACGGGGGGUAUACGAGUGAUAUAACGCGGACUUGGCCGAUUAACGGAAAGUUCUCGGAACCGCAGCGGAUGUUAUAUCAGGUUCUGCAACAAGUUCAGAAGGAACUGUUGGUCUGCCUGCAGAACAAGGGCGGGGAAACGUUAGAUCAACUGUUUGAUACAAUGUGUUUGAAGAUCGGUAAAUACCUGCAGGAAGUGGGAUUGAUUGCACGCAGCUUGAAAGGGUUGGAUCUGGCGAGGGCAGCGUACAAGUUUUGUCCACACCAUGUUUCACACUAUCUGGGGAUGGAUGUGCAUGACACACCGCAGAUCUCCAGGAGCGUUCCGCUCGCGGCCGGAAUGGUGUGCACCGUGGAACCAGGGAUUUACAUCAACCGACAGCGGAAGGACGUCCCGGAAGAGUUUCGUGGUCUAGGGCUGCGCAUCGAAGAUGAUGUGUUGAUAUGUCCCGAUGGAAAAAUCGAAGUGCUAACGGAAAGCUGCGUGAAAGAUCUGCACCAAAUUGAAGCUCUCGUUGGAUCGCACGACUGUUAAAGUGAGUAAGGUUGGUUGACCGAUCGUUCGAAGUAGCAGCCGUUACAGCCAGCAGCACCAAUACAGCAGCACCAAACAGCCACCAGCAGCGAGCCAGGUGUGAGAUCACUCCACACAGCGAUACGACUCGCUGACACUGAUGGCUUCUUCUUUUUCCUCGUUUGUGUCUCGUCCACUGCUGUAGCACAAUCCAGCCAGCAGCCAAAUCGGCUUACGCACCAGCUGGCAGUCACGAUGCGAAACAGUUGCACAAAGGAACGACCUUGAACCCGGAUUUAUUUCACUCGACCAGGCAAACAAUGCCAACACUUGUUCACACGUCUUUUGUUUUAUACUCUAUCGGACCGAUCACCAAACACGUCCAGUACUGAUGCGUGUUCGGCACAGAAUGAUCCAAAAUUUUGUCAGUCCAACUGUAAGCCGUGAAACCGGUAGGAUGAUUUUAAGAAGAUCAGCUAUUCCAGAUGAAAAUCUUCCACAGCCAAAACGCGACUCGAAGCUAAUAGCACUAGCGACGGCUCGAUCUGAAAGAGUUAGACGACGGGAAAACUCAAAAGUUGUUCCAGAGUUAGAGCAGGCAGAACAGAUGGAAGCAGAUAUCGAUUCAUCUGUGCCUUCUAUUGUAACUGCUGAAGCUGCCGUUCAAGUAAAUACUUCGGAAAUGGAAAAAGUAUUCGCCGGUCGUCGCCGUACCAUGGCAGUGCAAUUUAAAACGGAUGCAGAUCUCACCGCAUGGACUGGACUGAAUUCAUUUAGUUUAUUGCUAACAAUAAAAUCUUCCAUCGAA